GUAGGGAAUAUUGGGCAAUGGUCGGAAGACUGACCCAGCCAUGCCGCGUGCAGGAAGACGGCCCUCUGGGUUGUAAACUGCUUUUAUCUGGGAAGAAAAAGGCCAUGCGUGGCAAAUUGCCGGUACCAGAUGAAUAAGCACCGGCUAACUCCGUGCCAGCAGCCGCGGUAAUACGGAGGGUGCGAGUGUUGUCCGGAUUUAUUGGGUUUAAAGGGUGCGUAGGCGGCUGAUUAAGUCAGCGGUGAAAGACUUCGGCUUAACCGGAGCAGUGCCGUUGAUACUGGUUGGCUUGAGUGUCGGAGGGGUACAUGGAAUUGAUGGUGUAGCGGUGAAAUGCAUAGAUACCAUCAGGAACACCGAUAGCGAAGGCAUUGUACUGGCCGACAACUGACGCUGAUGCACGAAAGUGUGGGGAUCGAACAGGAUUAGAUACUCUUGUAGUCC
rnacentral:rRNA from 1 species